AGCUGGUCUGAAUGCAGUGGUCCUUACAACUAAUUGAUCACAACCAGUAACAAUUUUCUUUGUUCCUUCUCCACUCUCAUAACUUCACUUGACUAGCUUUAA
ensembl:misc_RNA Y_RNA Y RNA